rnacentral:tRNA from 1 species
AGACUCAGGAAUAAAACAAUUCGACUCCAAAUUUGCAAUUUGGCACUGGCUGAGCC